CUGGGUGAUACAGAGAGACUCUGUCUGAAAAAUAAAUAAAUAAAUAUAUAAAUAGGACCAAACAGAUUUUCAUAAAACUACACUUGGCUUACUUUUUGUGGGAAUUGGUAUUAUGGGUGAUUCCAAAAUGUGUUAAAAGAAGAUGCUUGUGUUAUCUCUGAUGUGGAAAAUAGGAGAAGGUACAGAGCUGAGUGGGGGAUGUAGGGUUGAGGAAACUACAAUUUUGAGAGACUCGUGACUUCUUUUUUUUUUAAACUUUAAAUUCCAGGAUACAUGUGCAGAAUGUGCAGGUUUGUUACAUGUGUCAUGGUGAUUUGCUGCACUUAUUGACCCAACCUCUAGAUUCCCUUCCCCACCCCCCACUUCCCAACAGACUGUGGUGUGUGACGUUCCCCUCUCUGUGUCCGUAUGUUUCAACUCCCACUUAGGAGUGAGAACAUGCAGUGUUUGGAUUUCUGUUCUUUGCUGACAAUGAUGGCUUCCAGCUUCAUCCAUGUCCCUGCAAAGGACAGGAACUCAUCCUUUUUUAUGGCUGCAUAGUAUUCCAUGGUGUGUAUGUGCCACAUUUUCUUUAUCCAGUCUAUCAUCAAUGGGCAUUUGGGUUGGUUCCCUGUCUUUUCUAUUGUGAACAGUGCUGCAAUAAACAUACGUGUGCAUGUGUUUUUAUAGAAUGAUUUAUAGUCGUUUGGGUAUAUACCCAGUAAUGGGAUUGCUGGGUCAAAUGAUAUUUCUGGAUCUAGAUCCUUGAGGAAUCACCACACUGUCUUCCACAAUGGUGGAACUAAUUUACAUUCCCAUCAACAGUGUAAAAGCGUUCCCAUUUCUCAAGACUCGUCACUUUUGAAAGCCCUGUGCCUGUUAGCUGAGAGGGGAUGAUAGGAGACCUGUGUCUUCUCCCAGGUUCUGCCCUUUGCACCCAUGAGACCUUAUAUUAGGCUUAAUCUCUCUAUGCGAAUUUCUUCUUCAAUAAACCUGAAAACAUGUCAACUCCUUUUGCUUUCUCAUAAAUGCAAGUUGAAACUUUUAACAGGACAGCAUCAACAUAGGCCUGUUAUUCUCAAACUUUCCUAGGCCAGGAUCAGUUUGGCACUAAGCAUUUGACACUUAACAUGUCCAUUGUAGUUCUGAGCUUUAUUUGAAACUUGUCUAACUUGCAGGGGUUUUUUGCAAGAUGAACGAGAAGAGAUGAAAAUUUCAAAUCAAACUCUAACUUCUGUUUUUUUGUCCCUUUUUUGCAAUUCAACAAGGCAGAGGUAUUAGUCCCAUUUUGCUGACGCAGAAACUGAGGCAUACAGGUUACAUGUCUUGGCCAACAUCAUACACAAACAUAUGUGUUCAUAUAUGCACAUACAAGAAUAUAUACAUACACAAUGUCUUGAUCUAAAUUCAGCUUUUCAUAUAACUUCUGUGUUUUUUAAAAAUUGUUGUUUUGUUUUUUAGACAGAGUUUAGCUCGUUUUUUAGACAGGCUGGAGUGCAAUGGUGGGAUCUUGGCUCACUGCAACCUCCGCCUCCCAGCUUCAAGUUAUUCUCCUGCCUCAGCCUCCCAAGUAGCUGGGAUUACAGGCACCCGCCACCAAGUCUGGCUAAUUUUUGUGUUUGUAGUAGAGAUGGGGUUUCACCAUGUUGGCCAGGCUAGUCUCAAAUUCUUGACCUCAGGUGAUCCACCCACCUUGGCCUCCCAAAGUGCUGAGAUUAUAGGGGUGAGCCAUGGUGCCUGGCCUGUUUUUUAUUUUUUACAAGUGCCUAGAGGAUAUAUGUAAAGCCUACAUCACUGAUAGGGUAAUCGUUGUAAUAAUGUUGGAAUUCAAUUUUUACUUUCAAACCAUUUUAACAUCUAUAAUGUCAUUUUGUCAUCACAAUCUGUUUUAUUUGAGGGAAAGGUACAUGCUUCUAAUAAAUGAAGAAAGCCAUUUACUUGGUUAAACCAAGGUCUCAUGAGACCUGGACUGCUGUUUGAACAGAUGUGCAUGUUAAGAGCAGAACACAGGUGGCCAUAGCAGUCUAAUUGCCUGGACUCAGGUAAUCCCCAGAGUCCCGAAGCAAUCUCCUUGGAAACUGGUCUCUUCCUGGGUAACCCAUGACUAGCUCAUUCUCCUGCCACAAUGCUUCAGUUUAUGACUUAGGAGGCCCAAAUGUUCACAUGAGAUCUUACUGAGGAGUUAAGUCCCAAUUUCCUCUAUCAGGAAUAUCUUAAUUGUGAUGGAGCUUUUCAGUCAUAAGAGUGACACACCCAGGUCAGUAGAAUGCUCGUAGAAUAGAACUCCCACAAUGCUCCAUUAACAUUCAGCUUAACUAAGCAGACUAUUUCUUCACAAAUAAAGCAGCAUGCUUCUCAGACUCUUGUUUCACCUUAACUAGUUCAAUGCACACCACCAAUUAUCUGGACAGGAAAAGUUGCCAAGUCAAAGCAAACUAUGAAGGCCCGCUGGAUACUUUGAGUCCACAAAGGAAGAAAAUAAAGAGGACUUUCAGGAUGGUUGACAUGGGACGCCGUGUUUUCGAGACCUGUGUGGACUGGAGCCUGAAGCAUAUCAGGAGCAGUUUCGUUGGUCGUCAGGGAAAACAGUGAACGGUGUGCCGAUGGACCUCAGAAUCAGGAGGGUACUCCAGCGUGAAAAUGGAGCAUGCACGUGAGCUGAGUAGUGGCAUGCAGCAUGCACGCCCAUCGAUCCUUGCUGCUCAUUCCCAUACGGUGUCCGCCAUGCCCCUUGGACACUGAAUUCCAGUGGACCCAGCAUGUGUGGGAAUUCAGGGGAGACUCGAUGUAUAUACAAGGAAGCUCAGCACUGCAUUCAAGAUGAAGAACACAACCAAAGCAAUCCCACAAUUCCAUCGUUGAUGUUCUGUUUCCUGGGACCGUUCACGGUAUAAAUUUCUGGGCUGCUCAAGACCUGGCUACCGGUGUACCCCAGAGCAAGUGAUCUUCAGAAAGCCACCAAGACAGGCUGAAUGUCUUUUAUGAGCUAAUCUUGGGAAUGACUUACCAUCUCUUCUGCCAUAUUUUAUUGGUCACACAGAGAAACCAUGGUGCAAUGUGGGAGGGGGACUAUAGCAGGGUGUGAAUACCAGGAGGUGGAGUCACCUGGGGCCAUCUUAGAAGCUGCCUGCUGCAAGCUCCUACAGUUCAAUAAGACAAAAAACAAAGCUCAAGCAGAAAAAUGAGCAAGAGCUAUAGGGAGACUCAUAUAAAUAAAUACAUGUUUAGUAAAGAUAAAGAUAAACGUGUAUCUUUAUGUUAAACUACAUCUUAAACAUAAGAUGCUUUACUUCACUCUAAUUAAGAAUAAUGUAAUUUAAAACUGCAUUGGGACACCAUUUCUACCCAUAAGAUUGGUAAAGAUAAAACACCAAGUUCUCACUCACUGUAUAGUUGAGAAUUUUUGGAGAAAUAGAAUCUCAUAUUUUGUCAGCGAGCGUAGACUUUGGUACAACCUCUAUGAAGAAUAAUUUGGCGAUAACUCUCAAAAGUAAAAAUAUACAUAUCCUUUGAUCCAAUAAUUUCACUUCUAGGAAUUUUUUCUAAGUAUACUCUGGCACAUGUGCAAAAACGAUGUCUGUAUGAAGACAUUUAUUGCAGCAUUGACUUGUAACAGCAAAAGAUUGGAAACCAUCUGAAUUUCUAUCAACAGAUAACUGAUUAAAUAAAUUGUGGUAAUAUGCAUAUAAUAGAAUUCUAUGCAUCUCUUGAAAAGAAUGAAGCAGGCCUCUUUACACUGAUUUAGAAUUUUCUCCAACAAGUACUGAGAGAUGUAAAAGCACUGAACUGCAUGCCAUCAUUUGUGAAAAAUACGUAUAUGCUUGUACGUGAACAGAAUAUCUCUACAAGUAUAUCCAAGGGGUUGAGACUUGUAGCUUUUUUUUGUAGAAGGGAACCAGGUAGUUAGGGUGUAGGAGUGUGAGGGAGACUUACCUGGUAUACAUUUGCUAUUGUAUAUGUUUAAAUCUAUCCUAUGCACUUGUAUUAACCACUUAAAAAUAACUUAAAAAUACAUUUUUAAAAAGCACACUGUAAGCCUGGGCAGCAUAUGGAGAACCCCUCUCUACCAAAAAUUUAAAAAUUAGCCAGGCAUGGUGCACGUGCCUAUAGUCCCAGCUACUGAGGAGGCUGAGGCGGGAGGAUUGUUUGAGCCUGGGAGGUCAAGGAUGCAGUGAGCUGUGAUUGUGCCACUGCACCCCAGCCUGGGCGAUAGAGAGAGACCCUGUCUCAAAAUAAAAACAAAAGCACAAAUAAAAACAAAAACAGAGGAUAUUGCAAUGACCCAGAAUUAAGGUGCCCUAAUCUAAGUUGGCAUCAAUAGAAAUAAAGAGAAGUAGAGUUGGCAGGACCUGGUGAAUCAUUGGAUUAGAGAGUGGGAUUUCAAUUUGAUAAUCCGAUUCCUGCUGGAGGCACCCGAGCAGGUGGAAGAUAGGGGGCCUAAGAGAAUAUCUCUGAUAAGAACUUUUAUGUAUUUGAUAAAAUGAUUAAAGUUUAUAGAAAAAAAACUUUUUUUUAAGUCAAGGCUAUUCUUUUUUGUACUCCGCUGUCAGCUUCUUGCAAUUAGAUAUUAUAUUGUACAUUUUCUUAUAGGUCUUACAGUACCUAGAAUGAUGUCUUACUUGUUAUAAAUGACCAGUAAAUAUUUUUUAGAUGAGUAUCUGAAAAUCAAAUUUCUAAAACACUGUCUUAUCUUUUCAGAAGGUGGAGUAAAUAUUUGCCUAAAUGCAGAGUAUGAGCAUCAAAGAGGUUGAAAAUAUAAUAUCUCAUUAUCUCUUUACUCAAGGAUGAGGGGGCACAAGUGGAGAAAAUAUGAAAUUUAUGCAGCAAAUUGCUUGCUGGAACAAGGCAUAGGAUUUUCAAAACACGUUUCAUUAUCUCUAAAAAAAAAGAGUCUAUUUAGCCACCAGAGGGCUCUCAUCUUCCCAUCUAAUGGCAGGCCCAGACCCAGACCCAAGCAUGAGAUAGUGUAAGAAUGCAGGAGAAGAGGCCGGGCGCGGUGGCUCAAGCCUGUAAUCCCAGCACUUUGGGAGGCCGAGGCGGGUGGAUCGCGAGGUCAGGAGAUUGAGACCAUCCUGGUCAACAUGGUGAAACCCCGUCUCUACUAAAGAUACAAAAAAUUAGCUGGGCACGGUGGCGCGUGCCUGUAAUCCCAGCUACUCGGGAGGCUGAGGCAGGAGAAUUGCCUGAACCCAGGAGGCAGAGGUUGCGGUGAGCCGAGAUCGCGCCAUUGCACUCCAGCCUGGGAAACAAGAGCGAAACUCUGUCUCAAAAAAAAAAAAAUGCAGGAGAAGAUCAGAAUAGAAUAUAUAUAUGUUCAACUGCAUUUUUUUCAUAUUUUGUAUAUGUAAAACACAUGCAUAUAUAUAUGUAUAUCCUUUUCUCCCCAUAAAAAGUAUACUACAAUUGUAAAAUCGUCCUGCCAAGUCUUAUUACAAUAUAAGAAGAUAGAAAUUCAUCAAAUGUAUUUCAAAUACUCUAUCUCCAAAUAUCAAGGAGGGCCUCUUUGUCUUUUGUUAAUUGCAAAAUGAGGUCAGGCUCGGUGGCUCACACCUGUAAUCCCAGCACUUUGGGAGGCCAAGGAGAGUGAAUCACCUGAGGUCAGGAGUUCGAAACCAGCCUGGCCAACAUGGCAAAACUCUGUUUCUACUAAAAAUACAAAAAUUAGCCAGGUGUGAUGGCAGUUGCCUGUAAUCCCAGCUACUUGGGAGGCUGAGGCAUGAGAAUUGCUUGAACCCAGGAGGUGGAAGUUGCAGUGAACUGAGAUCACAUCACUGCACUCCAGCCGGGGUGACAGAGCAAGACUCCAUCUCAAUAAAUCAAUAAAUAAUACAUUUUAAAAAGCAAGGUGAAUUUGUCUCUAGGGCUCUGUGAGGCCAGAACUGCUUGGGAGGUAUUCCCAUACACUGGUGGGAAGAAAGGGGGUGCUACAGUGGACUGCAUUCCCUUUACGUAAGCCUCCCGAAAUUGGGUUAUGUGUUGAAAUGUUAAUGCUUUGCACAGGCUUAGAGGGUUCUAAAAUCUAGGCUUUCUAGACUCUGUGACAGUUACAGUAUUUCGUUGUCUUCAUCUUUAUUCUGUUUGAACUUCAAGUUGGGGAAUGGGUGCUGGGACAUAGGAUUUGGGAUCCUCUUGUUGAUUCUGUGAAGUCAUGCAGACAGUGAGGGAUCUUCUCUUCCAUGAAUGCCUUCUGCAUCCUAGUGCCACCAUCAGCUCCUCUAUACUGUGAUUUCACACUACAUCUACCAGGCUUGCAAAUUAUAACCUAUAAGUAACCGUCAUUGGAUUGGUAGAGCCUUUUAGUCAAGAGAACAGAGAAGGAAAUGGGUGUUUAUUGGAUGCUGACUCUGGGCUAAAUGUCCUCAGUCUAUCAUCAUCAUCAUCAGUAGCACUAACACAAACAAGCAUUGUGCUCCUCCUCUACAUAUGAGAAAGCCAAGCUCUGAAAGGUUGAAUGAGUCACCCAAAUGGUAAAUGCUGUGUAAAUGAGACUAACUGAAUUUAGAGUACCUGUAAAGCUUGUGUUCUUUCACUUUGAUGCUUUAGUACCCUGUGAUGUGAGUAUACACUUUGGUCUUUCUUUGUCCCUGGGAUACUACCCCAGCUAAGACCCCUGUGAUGUGAGUAUACACUUUGGUCUUUCUUUGUCCCUGGGAUACUACCCCAGCUAAGACAUUCAGGGAUCUCUGGGGUCUAGCCUGUAGAUGGAGCUUCGAGGCAGCAUGUCCCAUGGCUCUGCAAUGUCCACUGAGAGUGUGGCUUCAUGGUGGUUGCGGCAACACUACAGUGGCCCCCCUACAUGUGUGGUAGGAUAGGAGGAUGGUGCCUCCUCAACCCUUCAUCCUUCACCGCUUGGGGGCAGUGAUGAGGCCCUGACAGGUCUUUUUCAGUAACUGCCAUAGUUUGGCCAUGACCAUGCUUCUCAUUCCAGCUCCUAAUGGCCUGCAGGUGGAAUGCCUGCAGGUGAACACAGGUGGGGUGUAUAGGCCACAGGAUCAGUGAUUGUGCUCCUUGCUGUGGGCCUCAUGUAUUGACCACUCUUGUUGAGCUUGUGUAAUAGCUGACUUUGCUCCCAGGAUGAAGACAUGGUGGCCCCACAGCUGAAAGAACGCACGCCCAGGGAUUUCCCUGACAGCUCCAUGCCUUAUGCAAGGUCAUAUGAACAGGGUGGUGGCAUAGGGUUGGUUGUGAAAUCUGUAGCCAUCAGGACAGUGGCCUUCAGUAGCUUGUUCUGGAAGCCAUGCCCCAGACCACCAUCUUGCAGGCAUCACUAGCCCCAUGAGGACUAUGCACCAAAUGCAGACCUGUGCAGAGCAGACAGAGCCCCUGCAGCCUGGCUUCGGAGACAGAGCCUGUGGAACACCAAGUCCCGUUACUGUCUUGCGUGGAACAGUCUCCAAGAUGAACUUUCAAAGAAACACUCACACAGUGAGUUUUCUUUCUGAAAUCUGCUCCACUGAAUGGCUUCAUCCUAAGGAGGAGAGACUGUUGUUUCCUUGAUGGGAUGAUGUAGGAUUUGGGGAGACUCUUGAAUGAAGAGAAGAGAGUUUGGCAAGCAGAAGUGGAAGGAUUAUUAUAGGCCUAUGAGUCACAGACACUGCAGGCAAACGACGCGGAGAGCGGAGGGUGGGCGAACCCACAGAAAGGAGGUGAGGCCAGGGGAGCCGAGGAAGAGGAGUGUAGCCGCCAGGGAUCUCCAGAGAAGCUGGAGCAAUGGAAUGUGUACGUACCUAGAAAGAGAUUUAUUUUAAGGGCUUGGUUCACGUGAUGACGGAGGCUGCCAAGUCCCAAAUUAUCAGGGCAGGCCAGCAGGCUAGAGACCAGGGAGAGCCCAGGCCGCAGUUCAAGUCCAAAGGCCAUUUGUUGGCAGAAUCCCCACAAGCUGCCUCCCUGGCUCCAGUAGUCUGUGCUCUUGUGACCUACUGAGGUCACAGGGAGACAAGAGGCAGCCGCACCAGAAAGCUUUGCAGAGGCGUCCGAGCCAUUCGAGAGCCUGGCCCCACACUCCACCUCAGUCACCUCUGCUGUUGCACCCAAAGGGACGAGGUGCAAAAUUUGCCAAGCACUUGCAUGGCUGGGCAGUGGCUCUAGAAGGAAGCUAGAAACAAAGGCUCACUCAGAUGAUGUUCAAAACAACCUGAAGACCUCAGCUGCUGCCAUAGGCAAGGAAAAUAAAGGAGAAUUCCCAUAUGGCAGGAACCUAGGCGGCUUCUAACCAGCCUUGGCUGGCCGAAACUGGCAGAUCACGAGGUCAGGAGUUUGAGACAACCCUGGCCAAUAUGGUGAAACCCUGUCUCUACCAAAAAAUACAAAAAUUAGCCAGGCGUGGUGGCGAUUGCCUGUAGUCCCAGCUACUCAGGAGGCUGAGGCAGGAGAAUCACUGGAACCCAAAAGGCGGAGGUUGCGGUGAGCUGAGAUCACACCACUGCACUCCAGCCUGGGCAACAGAGUGAGACUCCAUCUCUAAAAAAAAAAAAAAGGAAAAAUAAAAAACUCCCAGUGCCCCAUCUGUAGCCCAGACCAAUUCAGAAUCUCUGGAGGAGAGAUCUGGGCAUUAGUACUUUUGGAAGAUCCCUAGAAGGUGACUCCAAAUAUGCAGGCAAGGCUGCCUGGGCUCUGCCGUACACUCUUAGCAGCAAUUCGUAUUUCCCCAUUCCCUUUGAGGCCCUCUUCUGUCCAUUUACUCACUUGCCUGUCUGUUAAGGCUCAGGCUUAGGAAAGAGGGCGUUUCCACAAUGACACCUGUGUCCUGAACCGGCACCCUUCCCACAGUGCCUCAGAAGAUUUGAAUGAAAAUGUUUAAUGUUUUGAUCUUGAGGAAACAGAAGGAAGGGCUGUUGUUCCAGACAUUGUGAAGCAAACAAGCAGGGUUUGGUAGAAGUUGCGUGGUUUAAAGGAAAGGGGGUAGGUGUCAGAGCCAGCCAAAAUGAGCUCGGUGCUGUUAUUGGGUGAUUCUUUGUUGGGAAAAUCUGUCAACUUUGCUGAGCUUCAGUUUCUUUAUCCUUAAUGCUGAGAGACUGAUGCCCGUCUCUCUGAGCAUGGUCAGGCCUAGAGAUGAUGAAUUACAAAUGCCUGUCCUGUGAUGGGCACUCAGUAGAUGGUAUAAAUUACUGGUGACUCCUUGAGCCGGGAAAGAGACGUCUGAAGAGUUAAAAGCUGAAAUUUAACGUCUCAAUCCCUUCAUUUGUCAAAUGGGGAUAAUGUAUUGGGUUGAAUAUGAUCUCACUCCUUUCACCCCCAAUAUGUAUGUCCACCUUAAAACCUCAGAAUGUUACCUUGUUUGGAAUAAGAUCUUUGCAGAUGUGAUGAGUUUAGGAUCCUAGAUGUUCAGUAGACUCUAAACCCAUGACUAGUGUUCUUACACCAGGAAGGACAGGGAGAUGACACAGAUUCCAGAUUCUCUGUAAGGUAAGAGGUGCAGAGACACACAAGGAAGAAUGCUGUGUGUGGAAAGAGGCAGAUAUUGCAGUAAUGUGGCCACAAGCCAAGGAUUAGUGGGCGCCACCAGCAAGAAAGAGUCUUCCUCAGAGGCUUCAGAGGAAGCAGAGUACUGCUCACGCCUUGAUUUCAGACUGCCGGCUAGCAGAACUGUGGGAGAAUACACUUCUAUUAUUUUUAAGCCACCUAGUUUGUGAUACAUGGCAAUAGUAGCUCCAGGAAACUAAAACAGGUAAUAAUAGUAACUAUACUACUUUUAGGUUAUUGUAAUUAAAAUAAAUUUAUAUUGCAAAUAUAAUUAAAUUUAGUAAUAAUGAAGUUUUAGCUAAAUGAGAAUUGGGAUAUAACUCGAUCAAGACAGCUGCAGGUGGGCAGUUAAAAAAAAGAGAGAAUUGGGAUUAUUUAGAUGCUAGGUAAGCAGUCUAGUGUGAGGAUCUGUGUGCUAGGAGCAAAGGCCACCGGCGCUUGGAGGGUCUUUCAAGAGUGACUGUGUGAGGGAUACAGUGAAAUGACAGGGGGGGUUGAGUUUAGGAAGGAACAAGGUGAGACGCAGUAAGUUAACACCAAAGAGUGCCCUCUUGGGCACCUCUGCUUACCAACCAGGGAAGAGUGGCUGUCUACCCUUUGAUCUCUAUCUCACAAGCACCUUGUGCACAAAUAGCUUAGCAUCUUCUUGGCUCUCAUCUUGGGGAUCCCCCUUGAAGUUACACUUUCAAUCCCAUCCCCAAUAAGCAACCACAUAACCACGAUUCAUGCAGCUGUGGCACUUUCGUUAAGCCCACUAGAAUAAACAGGUAAGUUUCCCUUUGUCAUGUGUAUAUAGUCAUGCAAAUAUUCCCUGCCCUACAUGCUUGGGGUCUAAAACGGUUCCCAGGUGGACUUAGAGAUGUUCAUCUGUGAAUUGGAAGGACAUUUUGGAAUGGUUCUUUCCUUUCCCUUGAUUUGAGGAUUAGGAAGAAUCCACAUUGCAGAGUGGGGAAACUAUGAAUUGGUGUCCAGCAGUUCUUCUGGCCUCUUCCUCUUAGUUCAGUGACAUGUGAGGGUGAUAAGAGGUUGUGAUGGCAGGAUGAGUCUGGAAGGGAAAAAAUCCUGGCAGUGAUGCUGCAAUCUAUUUUCCAAGACAGAGAAUUUUAUUUAACCAGAUGAUUUUGAAAAUUUGCACAGUUGCCAGGCGCAGUGGCUCACGCCUGUAAUCCCAACACUUUGGGAGGCUGAGGUGGGCAGAUCAUCUGAGAUCAGGAGUUCAAGACCAGCCUGACCAACAUGGUAAAACCCCAUCUCUGCUAAAAAUACAAAAUUAGCUGGGCGUGGUAGCACAUGCCUAUAAUCCCAGCUACUCAGGAGGCUGAGACAAGAGAAUCACUUGAACCUGGGAGGCAGAGGUUGCAGUGAACUGAGACCACGCCAUUGCACUCUAGCCUGGGCAUCAAGAGCAACACUCCAUCUCAACAAAAAAAAAAGUUGGCAAAGUUGAAUUAAUGCAUACACAUAAAAUGACAAUAUAAGUGCAUUUUAGCAUGUAGUCAGAAAAAUUUUCAUAAGGAAUAAAACAUAUCUAGAUUGGGAGUCUUCAGAAUCACGUACCAGAUUCCUGGCAAGGUAUUGUAAAAGUCAUACAGUACAUAUUUCCCUAACUCUACGUCAUCUAACUUCAUUACUAGAAUCUUAAUAAAAUUUAGUGUUGAGUGAAAACAAAUCCCUAAAGUGUAACCAAAUAUAUUUGCUCAGGCCAGACUUAAGCCUCAGCGGAAGGUUUCUAAGCUCUUAUGGUAGAAGGGAUCUUUUCCUUCUUUCCUGUUAGCAUCUCAGAGGAGCUGAGUCUAGCAGAGCAGCUGCUAACAGAGGAAGCUGGGAAAGCCGGGCUUGGCUUUCCAAAGGUGCGGCAAGAUGAAAGCAGGCAAGCCUCCAACACAAGCCUGCAAAUGCCGGGGAGAGGACCACCAUUUCCCUACACUCAGGCCACAGCGUGUAUAUGGCCAGGGACAUACACUUAGUAGGCACUUUAUAAUGAUUUGUGUCAUGAAUGAACAAAUCCUACAGUGUGGUGGAGUGGAGUGAUAGCCAGCGAACUGAACUAGGUUGAACCGUAUUAUUACUAUUGAAUUCAGAAAUUCAUUAUUUUAAAAAACACUAUUAUUGGAUAAAGAAACCAAUUUCAUGGUUACGACAUAUUUUAAAUAAUGGAAUAGGAAAGAUUAUCAUAGAAAAUAAAGGGGCAUGUCACCCAUGUAAGAGCAACUAUGAGUUCAUGAAACUUUCCACAGGAGUGUGUGUGUUGUGUUUCUACUGGGUUAUGAUGUAAAAUGUGUUUCUGAGGGUACCAGUCAAGAAAGUUUGAGUACUGUUGGUGGAGUGGAAACUGUUCCGGCCAUUUGGGUCAGAUGGGUCUUGAUUUGAAUUCCUAUGCCGCUGUCAUACACUGAGCAUGUUACUUAAACCCAUCUGAGCAUCACAUACGCAUUUUAAGUCAACCGUAUAGUACGCACUGCGCUCAGCGUGGGGGAUGCAGUGGUGAAUAGAACAUACUCUUGCCCUCAAAGAAACAUAAAACAUGCCUUAAUAAGUAUACGCCUCUCUUCAACACUUCAGCAUCUCUGUGACUGGUUGGUAAGACAGAUGUCUGGGUAAAAAGAGAUCUCGGAGGAGCUCAACACUAUUUGAGGUUCUUCAGGAGCCAAAGGAAUCCUCAUUUUUUCUUUGUCUUCUUUCUUCUUAAGCAUGGCAACAGCUCAUAGGUGGUAAAAGUUGUGAUACUCAUGCAUUUUGAAGGAAAUUCAAUAAAUGCCAAUACCCGAGGCUUCUCCCAUGGAACCAUCCAUGUUAUAUCACCCAUGUUAUCCAGUCUUUGUUUCCAGAAUCAUUGUAGGACCCUGAUGACAGUGGCACCAGCUCUCAAAUAUAAAUUCAAGAAAAUUAAAAAAUGGCAUUGAAUAUCUACAUGGAACUUCAGAAAGACACACACACACACACACACACGCCCACAAGCAAUCACAGUAGUUUGAACAACAACAAAAAAACCAUGACGCUGAAAUUUGAAGGAUGCAGAACCUAAGAGUCUAAGAAAGAUUAAUUCAUGCUACCAACAAACAUACAUUUAAAUUAUGGGGAAAAAACAUUGUGGCAACCCAACACCACUCUCUCAAGACAGAAAGCAGGCCAGAUGUGGUGGCUCGUGCCUGUAAUCCCACCACUUUGGCAGGCCAAGGUGGGCAGAUUGCUUGAGGCUUGAAGUUCAAGACCAGUCUGGCCAACAAGGUGAAACCCUGUCUCUACUAAAAAUACAAAAAUUUUCUGGGCAUCAUGGCACAUAUCUGUAAUUCCAGUCUCUUGGGAGGCUGAAGCAUGAGAAUUGCUUGAACCUGGGUGGCAGAGGUUGCAGUGAGCCAUGAUCAUACCACUGCACUCCAGCUUGGGUGACAGAGUGAGACUCCAGCCAAAAAAAAAAAACAAAAAACACCGGGAGCAGUGGCUCGUGCCUGUAAUCCCAGCACUUUGGGAGGCUAAGGCAGGUAGAUCUUGAGGUUAGGAGUUCAAGACCGCCAGCCUGGCCAACAUGGUGAAGCCCUGUUCUUACUAAAGACACAAAAAAAUAGCUAGGCGUGGUGGUGUGCACUUUUGUAAUCCCAGCUACUUGGGUGAGGCAGAAGAAUCACUUGAACCUGGGAGAUGGAGGUUGCAGUGAGCUGAGAUCACACCAUUGCACUCCAGCCUGGGUGACAGGAUAAGACUCUGUCUCAAAAAAAAAAAAAAAAAAGGAAGUUUAAAUUCCUGUAGUGCCAGCCAGAUAA